CCACGCAGACUUCCUUUCCGAGCUGGGUGCGUAACGAGUGACUGGGCUGGUCGCUUACGUUAAGGGUCUGGGCAUAGCUAGUAGGCUAUAUACUUAUUAUAAAUAAUGCAUGUUACGGCAUCACAGGCGUGGUUUGGUCUGAAACCUCCUUAAACGGAUUGGAAAGAAGAUCUGAUCUCCGAGAGAUGGAUCCUAAUCCCGUCCUCGCAUAUCCCGUUUCUGUCUUCAUGGUCAUAGCCAGCGAGGAGACCAGGAAGUGUGUUUCAAUGUGUUGACCUGGAAGAGAUUCCCUGAAUUAUGCAGGGUGGGAGAUGGAGGAUGGGUCGCCUACAGUCACUGAUUCAAACUGAGUGAUUGCAAUAAUGGUCAUCUUGGCCACGUGCCAGUUCUUGCAUCAAAGUGAAUGCAAAGGUAACUAAUUC